rnacentral:rRNA from 1 species
CUCGUAGGCGGUUUGUCGCGUCUGCCGUGAAAUCCUGGGGCUUAACUCUGGGCGUGCGGUGGGUACGGGCAGACUAGAGUGCGGUAGGGGAGACUGGAAUUCCCGGUGUAGCGGUGGAAUGCGCAGAUAUCAGGAGGAACACCGGUGGUGAAGGCGGGUCUCUGGGCCGUUACUGACGCUGAGGAGCGAAAGCAUGGGGAGCGAACA